rnacentral:rRNA from 12 species
AGUGCGAAUGCUGACAUGAGUAGCGAUAAGGGGGGUGAAAAACCUCCCCGCCGGAAGACUAAGGGUUCCUGUCCAAUGCUAAUCAGGGCAGGGUUAGUCGGCCCCUAAGGCGAGGCUGAGAAGCGUAGUCGAUGGGAAACGGGUUAAUAUUCCCGUACUUGUAAUUACUGCGAUGGGGGGACGGAGAAGGCUAAUCGAGCCAGGCGUUGGUUGUCCUGGUUUAAGGUUGUAGGCUGAAUGUUUAGGCAAAUCCGGACAUUCUUAAGGCUGAGAACUGAUGACGGUGAAACUACGGUUUCCGAAGUCGAUGAUGCCAUGCUUCCAAGAAAAGCCUCUAAGCUUCAGGUAAUUGCGAACCGUACUCCAAACCGACACAGGUGGUCAGGUAGAGAAUACCAAGGCGCUUGAGAGAACUGCGUUGAAGGAACUCGGCAAAUUGCACGCGUAACUUCGGAAGAAGCGUGACCCUUUUCUGCGCAAGCAGAUGAGGGUGGCACAGACCAGGGGGUAGCGACUGUUUAUCAAAAACACAGGGCUCUGCGAAGUCGUAAGACGACGUAUAGGGCCUGACGCCUGCCCGGUGCCGGAAGGUUAAGAGGAGAGGUGCAAGCUUUGAAUCGAAGCCCCGGUAAACGGCGGCCGUAACAAUAACGGUCCUAAGGUA